AAUUUAGACCGGAUGGUCUGUUUUAAUAAGAAAAUCGGAUGCCAUAGGAUGAUUGACACGUGGAUAAUUUCAAUUAAAAUAUAAUUAGUAUUCUAAUAAUUGAAAAAAAAAAGGAAAAAAGAAAACCUCAGCAGGAAAAAAGAAAACCCCAGCAGAACCCAUAACCCCUCUAACCCUAAUUAUAAUAGCGUAAUUUAUUUAGAGUUGGACUUAAAAGUGCCACGUGUCAAAAAAUUAGUGGAAUCCGAU
rnacentral:lncRNA from 1 species